AUGAACGCUAGCGGGAGGCCUAACACAUGCAAGCCGAGCGGUAUUUGUUCUUCGGAACAGAGAGAGCGGCGCACGGGUGCGGAACACGUGUGCAACCUGCCUUUAUCUGGGGGAUAGCCUUUCGAAAGGAAGAUUAAUACCCCAUAAUAUAUUGAGUGGCAUCAUUUGAUAUUGAAAACUCCGGUGGAUAGAGAUGGGCACGCGCAAGAUUAGAUAGUUGGCGAGGUAACGGCUCACCAAGUCAAUGAUCUUUAGGGGGCCUGAGAGGGUGAUCCCCCACACUGGUACUGAGACACGGACCAGACUCCUACGGGAGGCAGCAGUGAGGAAUAUUGGACAAUGGGUUAGCGCCUGAUCCAGCCAUCCCGCGUGAAGGACGACGGCCCUAUGGGUUGUAAACUUCUUUUGUAUAGGGAUAAACCUACUCUCGUGAGAGUAGCUGAAGGUACUAUACGAAUAAGCACCGGCUAACUCCGUG
rnacentral:rRNA from 1 species